rnacentral:rRNA from 1 species
AGUCUUAGCGGUGGAUCACUUGGUUCAUGGGUCGAUGAAGAACGCAGCCAGCUGCGUUAAUUAGAGCGAAUUGCAGACACAUUGAGCUCUAAACUUUCGAACGCACAUUGCGCCGCGGGUUUGCUCCCGUCGGCACGUUUGGCUGAGGGUUGUUUUACAGAACUCAAUUGCGCCGAUGCUUGUACGGUGUUGGGUCGGAGAGCGCGUUCGCGCCCUCUCUUAGAUUUGGAUGCAUGUACACCACGAGAAACGUUCCCGAAAUGGGGAUGAAUCUCAAGUACAGACGCAAUGCGUUGGCGUGCGGGUGAUGCCUGGAUUCGGCAGGAUGAAUCCGCUAAAGGGCUGCCUGCGCUUGUCUAAUGUGUUGUGCGAUUUCUUUGAAUUCUCAACCUCAGCUCAAUCGUGAUUACCCGCUGAACUUAAGCAUAUCACUAGGCGGAGGAAAAGAAACUAACGAGGAUUCCCCUAGUAACGGCGAGUGAAAGGGGAAGAGCCCAGCGCUGAAUCCUGCUCUCCCCUGGAGGUAGGAACUGUAGCGUAUAGGUGUUGCUGUCCGGCGUAGUUGUUCACCCCAAGUUCCCUUGACUGGGACCACUGUCUAGAAAAGGUGCAAGACCUGUACGGGUGGUAACUACGACGGUUGGUAGCGCCUCGGAGUCGGGUUGCCUGAGAUCGCAGCCCAAAGAGGGUGGUAAACCUCAUCUAAGGCUAAAUAUGACCAUGAAACCGAUAGCAAACAAGUACCGUGAGGGAAAGUUGCAAAGAACUUUGAAGAGAGAGUUCAAGAGUACGUGAAACCGCUGGGAUGGAAACGGAGAGAGUUGACGAAAGCCGGUGCUAUUCAACUGUGUCGCGCAAUCGCACUGGGACAUGGCUACCUCUCUGGGGAGCUUGUCUUGGUGGCACGAUACGCGGCGCGUGCAUUUGGUGCCGGUGUGCGCUGAGGGCCUUGACUGAGCGCUCCGAACCGCAGUGUGUUGCCCACUUCGGUGGUGUCUUGCACGUGGCUAGGUGUGCCCGGCUAGGGUUAGCUGCUAAUGCGUUCUCGCUAGGCGUCUGUUGUUGUGCCUCUGUGCGUGCUACGGUGGCGGUCGUCGAAAGGCGACAGGCUAUCGUAGUGUGUAGGGAGGUGGAGCGCGGACGUGGAACGCUUGCUCCUCGGUGUGACCGUCGACCACCCCUCCGACCCGUCUUGAAACACGGACCAAGAAGUCUAGCAUAUACGCGAGUCAUUGGGUGAAAAACCUAAAGGCGUAAUGAAAGUAAAGGCGGCUCGAUCCGCUGAUAUGGGAUCCGUGCAUGGGAGUGUGCGGCGCACCAUAGCCCCGUCCCGAAGGCUUGCCUUGGGGCGGAGGUUGAGCGCAUAUGCUGGGACCCGAAAGAUGGUGAACUAUGCCUGAGCAGGAUGAAGCCAGAGGAAACUCUGGUGGAAGUCCGAAGCGGUUCUGACGUGCAAAUCGAUCGUCUGACUUGGGUAUAGGGGCGAAAGACUAAUCGAACCAUCUAGUAGCUGGUUCCUUCCGAAGUUUCCCCCAGGAUAGCUGGAGCUCGUAAAUGCAGUUAUAUUCGGUAAAGCGAAUGAUUAGAGGAAUUGGGGACGAAACGACCUCAACCUAUUCUCAAACUUUCAAUGGGUAUGAAGUCGCGGUUGCUUAAUUGAACCGUGAUAGCGAAUGUGAGCUCCAAGUGGGCCAUUUUUGGUAAGCAGAACUGGUGCUGUGGGAUGAACCAAACGUCGGGUUAAGGUGCCUAACUUCCCGCUCAUGAGACCCCAUAAAAGGCGUUGGUUGAUAUAGACAGCAGGACGGUGGCCAUGGAAGUCGGAAUCCGCUAAGGAGUGUGUAACAACUCACCUGCCGAAUCAACUAGCCCUGAAAAUGGAUGGCGCUUGAGCGGGGGACCGAUACCCGACCGUCGGCGAUUUGUGCGCGCUUGCAGCUGCGCCUGAUCACGACGAGUAGGAAGGUCGCAGUGGUUUGCGUUGAAGGCUUUGGGUGUAGACCCGGCUGGAGCUUCCAUUGGUGCAGAUCUUGGUGGUAGUAGCAAAUAUUCAAGUGAGAUCCUUGAAGACUGAAGUGGAGAAGGGUUCCACGUGAACAGCAGUUGGAUGUGGGUCAGUCGAUCCUAAGGUAAAGGCUAAUGCCUUGUAUCAGCAUGUGCGGGAGAUCUAAUCCCACACGGAUGCCGAAAGGGAAACGGGUUAAUAAUCCCGUACCUGGUAACGGAUAGCGGCGUGCCUUGUGUGCGUCGAGCGCGGUAACGCAAACGAACUCGGUUACGCUGAGUUGAGCUGGUGCCAGAGUUCUCUUUUCUGGUUAAGGAACUGACUCCCUGGAAGCGGCUCAGCCGGAGAUAGGGACGUUGUUUCCGUAAAGCGCCACGGUUCCUGUGGUGUCACCUGUGCUCGACUUGGUCCUUGAAAAACUGAGGGAGGCGUACUAAAUCUCGUUCCAGAUCGUACCGAUAUCCGCAGCAGGUCUCCAAGGUGAACAGCCUCUAGUCGAUAGAAUAAUGUAGGUAAGGGAAGUCGGCAAAUUAGAUCCGUAACUUCGGGAAAAGGAUUGGCUCUAAGGAUUGGGUUAGUCGGGCUGUGGUGUGAAGCGGCGUCGGACCUGUCCAAGGCUGGAUGAGACCCUCGGGUCGAGUUCGGCCUAGCGGCGGGACUGUGUCGUGGACUGCUGCAGCUGCGUGCCUUGCUCUCGGGCUUGGUACUUCGGCUAGCGCUAAACAAUCAGCUUAGAACUGGCACGGACUCGGGGAAUCCGACUGUCUAAUUAAAACAGAGGAGACAGAUGACCCUUGCGGGCGUUGACUGUCUCUGAUUUCUGCCCAGUGCUCUGAAUGUAAAAGUGAAGAAAUUCAACCAAGCGCGGGUAAACGGCGGGAGUAACUAUGACUCUCUUAAGGUAGCCAAAUGCCUCGUCGGCUAACUACCGACGCGCACGAAUGGAUUAACGAGAUUCCCACUGUCCCUAUCUACUAUCUAGCGAAACCACAGCCAAGGGAACGGGCUUGGCAAAAACAGCGGGGAAAGAAGACCCUGUUGAGCUUGACUCUAGUCCGACUCUGUGAAGAGUCAUGAGAGGUGUAGCAUAAGUGGGAGACUUCGGUCGAAAGUGAAAUACCACUACUUUCAUUGAUUCUUUCCUUCUUCGGUAAGGCG